CCUACGGGAGGCAGCAGUGGGGAAUAUUGGACAAUGGGGGCAACCCUGAUCCAGCCAUGCCGCGUGUGUGAAGAAGGCCCUCGGGUUGUAAAGCACUUUCAGUGAGGAAGAACGCCUGGUGGUUAAUACCCAUCAGGAAAGACAUCACUCACAGAAGAAGCACCGGCUAACUCCGUGCCAGCAGCCGCGGUAAUACGGAGGGUGCGAGCGUUAAUCGGAAUUACUGGGCGUAAGCGCGCGUAGGUGGCUUGAUAAGCCGGUUGUGAAAGCCCCGGGCUCAACCUGGGAACGGCAUCCGGAACUGUCAAGCUAGAGUGCAGGAGAGGAAGGUAGAAUUCCCGGUGUAGCGGUGAAAUGCGUAGAGAUCGGGAGGAAUACCAGUGGCGAAGGCGGCCUUCUGGACUGACACUGACACUGAGGUGCGAAAGCGUGGGUAGCAAACAGGAUUAGAUACCCUAGUAGUC
rnacentral:rRNA from 1 species